ensembl:lncRNA
UUCCCUUUUCCUGUUUGCAUUUAGCUUGUCUUUUAGCUUUCCUUGGGGAUUUAGGAUUUCUUUUUCUCAUAAGCUAUAUUUGGCUUCCAUCUCGGUGAGACUUCCUUUGGACCUCUGCCUUUCUUGUGCAAGAGGGACAUAGGCCACAAGUUACUUGCGGACUGGAGCCUGUGCAGCUCCCAUAGUCAAACUUCUGUUUUCGAGCAGUUUGGAGGACAUGGUGAGCUUUAUGCUGGUGCAUCUGCACAGCCUCAGUGUGAAAUAGGUGAGCCCUGCUUUGUUUUCCCCUUGAUACUUCAAUGUCUGAGGACACCAGGAAGAAACUACUGGUCACAAGGAAGUGCAGCAUCCAUAUUGCAGAUGCUGAUCACCCUAUACAUUAACUCUUAGAAAUGGUCAACGGUUGCAAGCAUGUCAAUGUCAGCAGACUACUGCUCACACAGGGUUCUGCAGUCUGCCUCGAAGUGAGAAACUCAGCAUCCCGGAAGGACAAUUUGUUGCAGGUGCGAAGAAAAUUCUUUCUUGGAUGGCCCCAUCCAGCCUGGUCUCGAACUCCUCCAGGGAUGGAGCCUGUGCAACCUGAUCUAGUGGGAAGUGUCCCUGCCCAUGGCAAGGGGUUGGAACCAGAUGAUCUUUAAGGUCCCUUCCAACCCAAGCUGUCCUGUGAUUCUAUGUUUUUUUUAUGCAAACUGAUCUAUCAGGAAGUGCUUCUAAAUGAGAAAAUGAUACUUAGUAAAUAACAUGAAAUCCUGAAAAUCCUGAUAACUGUGCUGAUACAUGUUGAAAAUACAAAUUAAUUGAUUAUAUUUAUAUCAUGCUUUGAGAAACAGCUGGAAAAAAAAAAUCCUUCCCAAAACAAAUGAAAUUAACAAAUACUGCCCUCUAAAUAUGGGGAAUGUGAGAAAGCUGAUACAACUAUCUUUAACUUGAUCAAGCAACUAAAUUUUGAAUUGUGGAAGUUAAAAUGUUCUAUGAAGUCUCAUCUUCAGUAAAUGCUGAGAAAAUUGGGAACAAAUACUUGUAAACCAAAGUGUUUUUCACCCAAACUAAGGGAUUAAGGAUUUUGCUCCUCUGGCUGGUCUUCUAAAGACAUUUGUCUAUAUAACCAUGUUCUUUGAUCUGAGUUUGUUACUACAGCACAUGAGCUUGGCUAGUCAGUGAGAAUAUUCAGAAUUUGCUAAGCAGGGAAUGUGGAGUGGAGGGAAAUAGAUCAGAUACUACAUGUGUUUUGUAGAUUUUAUGCCAUGAAUUUAUGUAUCCUCUACACAGAAGUAAAAUGUAAUUCAUAAGAAAUAGGCAAAAACCUUUCACUUGGACAUUGAUUGCUUAAAAGGACAGAUUGUUCUGCUGACAUAAUUAGCUUUCACAUGGAAUUGUAAAAUUGAAUCUGGCGGCAGUGAGGCAGCUGAUGUUGUAUCUAAUGAGAAGAAAAUUACAGAAAUACUGGUCACGAUAAAUCAAUUAAUUUAAAAUUACCACCUAAGCUACAAAAAGCUAAGCACUAUCAAGCAGAUAAUUUUUCUAGGAAAUCUAAAGGGAAGUGGAAGAAUCUUAGGAGGUAAAUUAAGGUUGCACGUGUGACAUGCCUAACUUGCAUUAACAAGGACUCGCUGCUAUAGAUGCACUGCUGAAAUAUCUUAGCAAGUCUCCCACUGUUAAAUGCAAUGCACAAAACUAUUUGCUGCAAUUACAUUCACUGAAGACUAUGUAAAAACUGUGGGUGGGAAACUGUUGAUGUGUUUUCUACAUUUUCACUGUUAUUUUAUCAUCAAAAGUUAAUAGAUCUUGAUUAUUUUGGCAUUUCAUUGUGAUAAUACAUAGGUCUACUGUUUGAGUAAAACUGUAUGAUACAGUAUUUUAGACAUCUGCAGAGGAUAUUUGAGGCAAAUCUAGUUACUGCUUGAAGUUCUAGCAUGUGUUAUACAAAGUUCCUAUUGAAAACAACACACAGUUGUGUAUAAGUUGUAAAUAAAAGAAAAACAUAAUUUUUGUCUGUGUCUGCU